rnacentral:rRNA from 1 species
UACGAAGGGGGCUAGCGUUGUUCGGAAUCACUGGGCGUAAAGGGCGCGUAGGCGGCCGAUCAAGUCAGAGGUGAAAGCCCCAGGCUCAACCUGGGAAUUGCCUUUGAUACUGUUCGGCUAGAGACCGGAAGAGGUAAGUGGAACUGCGAGUGUAGAGGUGAAAUUCGUAGAUAUUCGCAAGAACACCAGUGGCGAAGGCGGCUUACUGGUCCGGUUCUGACACUGAGGGACGAAAGCUAGGGGAGCGAAUGGG